rnacentral:rRNA from 1 species
GAUGAACGCUGGCGGCGUGCCUAAUACAUGCAAGUCGAGCGAACGGACGAGAAGCUUGCUUCUCUGUUGUUAGCGGCGGACGGGUGAGUAACACGUGGAUAACCUACCUAUAAGACUGGGAUAACUUCGGGAAACCGGCGCUAAUCCCGGAUAAUAUUUUGAACCGCAUGGUUCAAAAGUAAAAGACGGCCUUUCUGUCUCUUAUAGAUGGAUCCGCGCUGCAUUAGCUAGUUGGUAAGUUAACGGCUUACCAAGGCAACGAUGCAUUGACGACCUGAGAGAGUGAUCGGCCACACUGGAGCUGAGACACGGUCCAGACUCCUACGGGAGGCAGCAGUAGGGAAUCUUCCGCAAUGGGCGAAAGCCUGACGGAGCAACGCCGCGUGAGUGAUGAAGGUCUUCGGAUCGUAAAACUCUGUUAUUAGGGAAGAACAUAUGUGUAAGUAACUGUGCACAUCUUGACGGUACCUAGUCAGAAAGCCACGGCUAACUACGUG